GUACUCUCACACUCUCUGAUCCUUUGGAUUUGGAGAGCGGUGGACUUGGGUGCUUGCUGCUUCCUUGUGGCUCACCUGAAUGCGUCAGUGCAUCUCUUGAUUGGACAUAGUACGGCGUGAUAAGUGUCUUCGCCGGCACCUCGUAAGAGGGUGGCUGAUCGGGAGCUCUGUGCUUUCAAACCGUCUUCGGACAAUCCCUGACA
rnacentral:misc_RNA from 1 species